rnacentral:rRNA from 1 species
UGUGUGUGUUAGUGGAAGCGUCUGGAAAGGCGCGCGAUACAGGGUGACAGCCCCGUACACAAAAAUACACAUAUUGUGAGCUCGAUGAGUAGGGCGGGACACGUGGUAUCCUGUCUGAAUAUGGGGGGACCAUCCUCCAAGGCUAAAUACUCCUGACUGACCGAUAGUGAACCAGUACCGUGAGGGAAAGGCGAAAAGAACCCCGGCGAGGGGAGUGAAAAAGAACCUGAAACCGUGUACGUACAAGCAGUGGGAGCACGCUUAGGCGUGUGACUGCGUACCUUUUGUAUAAUGGGUCAGCGACUUAUAUUCUGUAGCAAGGUUAACCGAAUAGGGGAGCCGAAGGGAAACCGAGUCUUAACUGGGCGUUAAGUUGCAGGGUAUAGACCCGAAACCCGGUGAUCUAGCCAUGGGCAGGUUGAAGGUUGGGUAACACUAACUGGAGGACCGAACCGACUAAUGUUGAAAAAUUAGCGGAUGACUUGUGGCUGGGGGUGAAAGGCCAAUCAAACCGGGAGAUAGCUGGUUCUCCCCGAAAGCUAUUUAGGUAGCGCCUCGUGAAUUCAUCUCCGGGGGUAGAGCACUGUUUCGGCA